UACGUAGGGUGCAAGCGUUAAUCGGAAUUACUGGGCGUAAAGCGUGCGCAGGCGGUUAUGUAAGACAGGUGUGAAAUCCCCGGGCUUAACCUGGGAACUGCAUUUGUGACUGCAUAGCUAGAGUACGGUAGAGGGGGAUGGAAUUCCGCGUGUAGGCAGUGAAAUGCGUAGAUAUCGGGAGGAACACCAGUGGCGAAGGCGGGCGCCCUGGGCCAAU
rnacentral:rRNA from 1 species